rnacentral:rRNA from 1 species
ACGUAGGCACCAAGCGUUAUCCGGAUUUAUUGGGCGUAAAGAGCUCGUAGGCGGUUCAGUCAGUCGGGUGUGAAAACUUGAGGCUUAACCUCAAGAGGUCACCCGAUACUACUGUGACUAGAGUGCGGUAGGGGAGCGGGGAAUUCCUGGUGUAGCGGUGAAAUGCGCAGAUAUCAGGAGGAACACCAGUGGCGAAGGCGCCGCUCUGGGCCGUAACUGACGCUGAGGAGCGAAAGCAUGGGUAGCAAACAGGAUUAGAUACCCUGGUAGUCCAUGCCGUAAACGUUGGGCACUAGGUGUGGGUCUCAACCAACGAGAUCCGCGCCGUCGCUAACGCAUUAAGUGCCCCGCCUGGGGAGUACGGUCGCAAGACUA